rnacentral:rRNA from 1 species
AACGAACGCUGGCGGCAUGCCUAACACAUGCAAGUCGAACGAGACCUUCGGGUCUAGUGGCGCACGGGUGCGUAACGCGUGGGAACCUGCCCUUAGGUUCGGAAUAACUCCCCGAAAGGGGUGCUAAUACCGGAUAAUGUCUUCGGACCAAAGAUUUAUCGCCUUUGGAUGGGCCCGCGUUGGAUUAGCUAGUUGGUAGGGUAAAAGCCUACCAAGGCGACGAUCCAUAGCUGGUCUGAGAGGAUGAUCAGCCACCCUGGGACUGGGACACGGCCCAGACCCCUACGGGAGGCAGAAGUGGGGAAUAUUGGACACUGGGCGAAAGCCUGAUGCAGCCAUGCCGCGUGAGUGAUGAAGGCCUUAGGGUUGUAAAGCUCUUUUACCCGGGAUGAUAAUGACAGUACCGGGAGAAUAAGCUCCGGCUAACUCCGUG